rnacentral:rRNA from 1 species
UGCGCAGGCGGCCCCGCAUGUCAGGCGUGAAAUCCCCGGGCUCAACUUGGGAAUGGCGCUUGAAACUACGGGGCUGGAGUGUGGCAGAGGGAGGUGGAAUUCCACGUGUAGCGGUGAAAUGCGUAGAGAUGUGGAGGAACACCGAUGGCGAAGGCAGCCUCCUGGGCCAACACUGACGCUCAUGCACGAAAGCGUGGGGAGCAAACAGGAUUAGAUACCCUGGUAGUCCACGCCCUAAACGAUGACGACUAGUUGUUGGGGGAGUUAAAUCCCUUAGUAACGCAGCUAACGCGUGAAGUCGUCCGCCUGGGGAGUACGGUCGCAAGAUUAAA